rnacentral:rRNA from 1 species
CCAGAAAAAAAUCCCCCCUCUCUCUCCCCAAUCUUCCUCUCCCACAUCGCCAUGGCCCGCCGCGCGCCACCACCCGGCCGUGCCCCUACCGGCCCUGCUCCGCCGCGCCCCUACCAGCCCUCAUCCAUCGCGUUGCCUCUUCCUCCCCCUUCUCUACCACAUAGGUGACCCAAUCGGACCAUCUGGCGGUGGGCACGAUGUCCUCACGCGGAUCUGACUGCCGCCACCAUCGCCGCCUCCACCUCAAGGUGCUCCUCGAUGCGGUUGUCCCCGACGAGCUACUCCCCAACGGCCACAUCCUCUCCUGCACUGCGAGCACUACGGCGAGGAGGACGGCAUCCACUUACCCGCCGCUAGAUCAAGAUUGCGUCCACCACCUCGACUUCACCCCAAAGGUACCAAGGAAUGUUUAAAUACUACAUUGGUGUUUUCUAGCUUGGAGAAGCAACAUCAACUUGGGAUGUAGAUUCACCAGUAUAUGUGCAUGCAUCUCAUAGGGGGAGAGAUCUUGCACGGAUGUAAGACCAUUUUUCUUCUGUUAUAGAUUCUAGAGUGAUGCUCUGCUUAAAUUCGUAUCCAUGCAUAAAGUCAACAUCCAAUGAAAUAUGAGCAAAUUAUUUUAUCUCUGUUAUUGUAAUUGGGAGCUAUGACAACCAUAUAAAUGGAUUUAGUAUAUUUUGAUUGCAUAGUUUCUUUUUUGCUAUUUGAAAUAUGAAUGUGUAUCUUUAAUCAUGACUGUUUAUGCAUUUUUAAGCAUGACUAGAACUGUGCUGAAGAUGUGUGCUUAACCGUGUAGUUUUUUUCUGCAGCUAAAAUUCAGCUGAAGCUUUACAAACUAGCUGAACACUAAUUCAUAGAGCUAUCCUUUCCUUUGCUUUGUUUUUCCUGUAGAAUUGGUUAAGCAUAAUCUGAGUGGUGUAUACCCAACACAUUUCUUAAUGGCCAUGCAUGCAAUUAUAAUCUAAUUGGGACACGACUAACAAGCUGAUUUACAUUAGCAUGCUCAUGUAUGUUUUCACAACCUGGCCCUUGUCUUGCAGAUCCUCGAAACGAGCCAAGAACCAUUAAAUGUUUUCACAACCUGGCCCUUGUCAUGUAUGUUUUACAGAUCCUCAAAACGAGCUUAAACUUUGUUAUGCAAGAUCUCUUCAUGUGUCAUAAUGAUACAAACACGAGCUACAUAAUUUAGGCAUUUACAAUUAUAAUUAAGUGAUAAUUUGGCAGAACAACAUGUUAGAAAUUCGGUGAUUUAUCAUUCUAACUACUGAAAUUAUAGGAUGCACUAUUUUGUCAAGUGUGGUGUUUAUUCGAGAAGGCAACAAAGAGGUAUGGCAGGACUGCUUUGUUGCACAUGUUCGAAAGUUGCGUCUUACCUGCUUUAAAUAUAGUAGUUGAGACUUCUGGGGGCAUGCCGUUUCAUCUUGAGCUUUCUUAACUAACAGAGAAAUGAAAUAACUUAUCAAAGCCUUUUUGUACGGUUUUUCUUUUCACUUCAAAAACAUUUUCGCAAAUUGGAACUUCAUAGCCAGUUUCCAAAUUCAAAGAAAUCACCUACCAUGGCCUUGUUCCUUUUCUUAAACUUCUCAUUCUGCAUCAGCCAAACUCCCAGCCAUUUCAAUGUCAAGCUCGUUGAGCAACUUGAAAUCACAAUUCAUAGCAAAUAUAUGAACAACUAACCAUGCUUUAUAUUUUUGAUAGGUGUUCUAAAACUAGAAGCAUUUCCUUAGUUCAAAUCCUGUACCAUGUAUAUACAUGCUACCCUCUUUUGAUGUACUUCAACAAGCUUAUCAACAAAUAUAUACCAGAUGCUACAUCGGCAUGUUAUUAUUUUGUUAGUGUAGUCACAUGAACUUCAUAUGAUUUAGCUGCAUUGUCAUAUAUUUAUUCACAAGAUCUGCUCGUCUAUAUCUGUCAAGACUGGAAACCUUGAGACGGUGAUCAAACAUUUGGUUGAAGGAAUCAGCAAACAGAUGUUUUCGAGCAUCAUGUUGUGAGCUCUGAUGUUCCUCUCAAGACUUGGAUCGGCAACCUGAUGCAAGUGCUCAAGGGAUAUCUGGAGCAUGUACUUGUCAAGGCGAUGUGAUGCAUGUGUAGUUAAUUACCAUGUUGAUUGGAAGUGUUUCGAUCUAGCAACAGUAGCUGAUAUGUGGCCUUGUCUAUAGUAGGUUGUAGAUUAAACUUGCAGUGUUUAGACCAUUUUGCAACUUAAGCUAGCUUU